UCGAUAGGAUGCAUGGAACUGGUCGAUAGGAUGCAUGGAACUGGUCGAUAGGAUGCAUGGAACUGGUCGAUUGGAUGCAUGGACCUCAGGUCGAUAGGAUGCAUGGACCUGGUCGAUAGGAUGCAUGGACCUGGUCGAUAGGAUGCAUGGACCUCAGGUCGAUAGGAUGCAUGGAACUGGUCGAUAGGAUGCAUGGACCUCAGGUCGAUAGGAUGCAUGGAACUGGUCGAUAGGAUGCAUGGAACUGGUCGAUAGGAUGCAUGGACCUCAGGUCGAUAGGAUGCAUGGAACUGGUCGAUAGGAUGCAUGGAACUGGUCGAUAGGAUGCAUGGACCUCAGGUCGAUAGGAUGCAUGGAACUGGUCGAUAGGAUGCAUGGAACUGGUCGAUAGGAUGCAUGGAACUGGUCGAUAGGAUGCAUGGAACUGGUCGAUAGGAUGCAUGGAACUGGUCGAUAGGAUGCAUGGAACUGGUCGAUUGGAUGCAUGGACCUCAGGUCGAUAGGAUGCAUGGACCUGGUCGAUAGGAUGCAUGGACCUGGUCGAUAGGAUGCAUGGACCUCAGGUCGAUAGGAUGCAUGGACCUCAGGUCGAUAGGAUGCAUGGACCUCAGGUCGAUAGGAUGCAUGGACCUCAGGUCGAUAGGAUGCAUG
ensembl:lncRNA